rnacentral:lncRNA from 1 species
GCGUAAUAAUGUUGACCGGGUGCUGGCUUUGCUUUGUUGCGUUCGGCGCCCACCGCCCAAAAAGCGUCAGCUGGCAGACGAGUUAAAAAUAAUUGGUAUGGGCCGUUUGACGUUUCUUGUGGGCGGAGCUAGACUUGGCGGCGAUCCACUCUCCUCUUUAAUAUAGCUUCGAUAUUGUCGCCUGUGAUCUCUUCGUUUUUGUUAAUCUCCUUUUCUUCUUUAAUAUAUUUGCUUUGAGCUUAGUCUUUCAAUUGCACGGCAUUGAAGUUUCUUAGCCCCUUCGAUUGCUUGAAUGGGAGAAUUGAUCUUUCUCACCAUAAUUUAAAUACAUUCUUUGGUUGUUUGAAGGAGGCAAAUGAAUCUCCUCCUUAAAUAUAGUAUAACUUUAUAAUAGAGUCCCUUCCAGGAUGAUACUGUUGGUUGGAGAUCUAUCAUUCGUAUAGAUGAUUUGAGAUCGAUUCCCCUUUAAUGUUUUAGGUCUGAGCGUUUUGUACCCCAAGGGCAAAGGUUAUAGUGGUUUCGGAUUUUCAUGGAAUUCCAAAAACUUUAUAGUAUAAUAUUUUGUUGUAAUUU